AACGAACGCUGGUGGCAUGCCUAACACAUGCAAGUCGAACGAGACCUUCGGGUCUAGUGGCGCACGGGUGCGUAACGCGUGGGAACCUGCCCUUAGGUUCGGAAUAACUCCCCGAAAGGGGUGCUAAUACCGGAUAAUGUCUUCGGACCAAAGAUUUAUCGCCUUUGGAUGGGCCCGCGUUGGAUUAGCUAGUUGGUAGGGUAAAAGCCUACCAAGGCGACGAUCCAUAGCUGGUCUGAGAGGAUGAUCAGCCACACUGGGACUGAGACACGGCCCAGACUCCUCCGGGAGGCAGCAGUGGGGAAUAUUGGAAAAUGGGCGAAGGCCUUAUCCAGCAAUGCCGCGUGAGUGAUGAAGGAAUUAGGGUUGUAAAGCUCUUUUACCCGGGAUGAUAAUGACAGUACCGGGAGAAUAAGCUCCGGCUAAAUCCGUG
rnacentral:rRNA from 1 species